rnacentral:lncRNA from 1 species
AUGAGUUUGCAGGGCCUCGGUCCAAAUUCCCUUGGAGAAGCAUCGAGGCGUCAAAGCAGGCCAGCUCGGAGGGGGCCGUGUGUCCGGCCCAGCCCGUUCGUUGCAUUUCCUCCUUCUGGGCAGGGAAAGGGGGAGCCCGUCCUGCAGCGCAGCCAGCUGAGCGGGGACGGGGCUGGCCUGCCCCAGAUCUGUCACCCAGCAGCAAUGGGGACAGCCCGGGCAAAGGAAAACCCAUCCAUUCCCACGGAAAUCCCGUCCAUUCCCAUGGAAAACCCAUCCAUUCCCAUGGCUCCAGCAGCAGAGCCAGCUCCAACAGGCUGCGGUGCCCCUGUGCAGGGGGUUGGUGCCCAGAUGGGGCUCUCCACAAGCCGCAGACCCCAUGCAGAGCCCCGAGCACGCCGCAGCUCCCCGGGAAGCCCCAGCCGAGCACGGCUCGAGUCCUCGGAGGCGUUGAGUGGCACCGGAGGCAGCAGGAGGAGCAGGCAGCGCGUCCCGGAGCUCCUCAGCCACGUUUGGAGAGCAAGCCACGCGCGGUGCCGGCUCCGUUUCCAUUUUCUCUCCGGCACGGAGCGGAUUUGUAGCAUCCCAGCUUCUUGCAGGCUCCUUGGAUCAGAACCCCGUGGUGGCAAGGCGCACAGCGCAGCAGGGGAGACCUCGCAGAGGAACCGCUGCCAGGCUCCGGCGCAGGGGGCCCGGUGCUGCCCCACGGCUCCCUCCAGCAUCCCCGCCAGCCACGCAGCUCGAACCGAACCCCACUGGGAAGCGGGGCGCCCAGCAUCCCCGAUGAGGGCGGCCAGAGGGCAGCCAAGCGAGAGCGGCAGUGACAGUGGCAGUGACGACAGCCGCGGCCGCCCCGCUCCUCCCCACUGCCUCCGUGCUGGGGCCAAGCGAGCCCACGCGCCGGCUCCCCCCAGACCCUGCCCGGCUCCGACCCCGCAGCCUUCCCAGGGCAGAAAUCAGCCCAAGGCGACCACCCUGCGUGACCCCAGCACCCCCAGUGCUUCCCCAGAGCACGGCCUGGAGCCAGCCCCAUGCCACCAGCUCCUCGCACCCCAUCCGCCAGCAGCACCCGGCCGAAACCCCAACGAGACGCUCGGCGCGGCACAGCCUGGCCACCCCAGGGCCACCUCCUGGGGUCGGUCCCCACGUCACCGGCAGCCCCGGCUGCCAGGCGCCAUCCGGCACAGGCAGCAGUGA